GGAGGGAGUGGAUCAGACUUCUUCAAAUCUUAGUGGCCCCAGAGCGAGCGGUGGCGUGUGUGGGCGAGGGGGGCUGGCAAGUAAGAUGGGGGGGAGCUGAGGCCGGGAAAGACGCUUCAGCCUAUUUGACUCCAAUCCCUGCCCCCAAAAGAACCCCAAAUUUUCACUCUAGCACCCGCCGAGGAGACAGAAACUCGCGCCCCAGGCCAUGGACCCUGCGCAUGGUGGCUGGGAACGAGCAUGUGGCCCACUUGUGGGAUGAAUCCUGGCCGCAGCCGGAGGCCUGCGCGCGCCGGAAGAUGAUGGAGAAGCUGAGGACUCCCCGU
rnacentral:lncRNA from 1 species